rnacentral:tRNA from 2 species
GGGCUCGUAGCCUAGCUAGGAUAGGGCGACAGCCUCCUAAGCUGUAGAUCGCGGGUUCAAAUCCCGCCGAGCCCG